rnacentral:tRNA from 1 species
UGCCGAGACGAGGAAUAGAAAAACCUCCACGGACA